CCACCCACUAUUUUUGACUUCAUAACAACAAAAAGGAAAAAUAAUAAUUGAAAGAAUAAAAAGAGUAUAUAGUUUUAUUUUGAGAUUAAGAGUAAACUAUAGAUGCACAUUUGUGUUAUUGACUUACAAAUUAGACUAAUAUUUUCCUUGCUACAAAGUUGCAUUCUUUUUUUGGGAUUGAAAUCCAUUACAUUUUCAUUAGGUAUGAUUUAUUUAAGGGAAAAAUGUCAAAAAUGUCCUUAAACUAUGUGAAAAGAAACAAAAUGUCCUUACUGUCAACAGUUUGGCUAAAAAAUGUCCUUACCGUCAAUACUUUGGUUCAAAAUUACCGUUAAACUAUGUGAAAAGAGCAAAAAUGCCCUCCGUUUGUAGUUUGGUCCAAAAAUGUCUUGCCGUCAAUAUUUUGAUAAAAAAAUGUUCUAAUGGGUAAAAACUACUCACUUUCCAAAGGGAAAAAAGACAAAUAUACCCCAAACUAUUGUAAAUGGUAUAUAAAUAUUCUACACCAUACUUUUGAAACAUUGAGUGUCUCUAUCGUCUAAAAACUAGAGCAUAUAUGCCCUUCACUCUAAUGGAAAACCAAAUAGAGACACGUUACGCAAUUCUACGAAGAAAACCCUGUCCAUAUCCACCCAUCCACCCACUUAACUCACCCGUAUUAACCCAUUACUCACGCUUAAACUAAACCCAUCCAAAACUGAAUUACUCACAAAUUCCGGUUCUCUUUCCAACCCAAUUACGACCCCAUUUUACUGAUCUGUAACAUCAGUACUUUGAACCGGAAUCACGUUGAUUUCAUUUGCUACCGAACUCAUUUAAGUGCCAUCCCUCAACUGCUAAUUCUGUUGUUUAAGACCUCUGAAAAAGAAUUGAGACUUCAUGUGUUUUGAUAGAGAGAGAAAGAGCUUUGAGUUGAGUUUUUGUAGAGAGAGAAAGGGAUGUAGUGAGGUCAAGCCAUUGAAAUGGAGAAAUCUUAGAUCAAAGCUCACUUCACCUUCUUUCUCUUUGUUCAAACUAACUGUGAACAAAUGGAUUUUAUAUGACAGAAGCUUACUUCACACUUAGAAAUCGUUUGGUUUGAAUAUGAAUUAUGAUGUGAUAAAUUAUGUAUUUCGUUCCAAUCUUCAAGUUCGCCCCAGUCUUUCUCUCUCUUAAUUUCGUUCUUCAAUGGUUUGAUUUGGUAGUCUUCGUCAAUGACUUAAAAAUCUUUGGAGUGGAAAAUUGGGCUUUUAGGCCCUUAAUCAUAAUAUAAUACUGAAA
rnacentral:lncRNA from 1 species